rnacentral:rRNA from 1 species
UAGCUUAGCAUACUCUAUUAAUAAAAUUCCACAACACCCCACGAACCCGACACCACAAUUGAAUAACUCUAUAGAUUAUAGAAGAUAUGAUGCUAAAACUAGUAACAAGAAAAAGACCUUUCUCCAAAAUAUAAGUGUAUGUCAAAACGAACUCAUCAUUGACACCUAACGCCCUUGAGCCCAAGAUAAUAACCCACCAAGAAAACCUUAUUACACAAUGACGUUAACCUAACACAAGAAUAUUUCUGGAAAGAUUAAAAGAGGGAGAAGGAACUCGGCAAAUCUAAGCCCCGCCUGUUUACCAAAAACAUCGCCUCUUGAAUAGAUAUAAGAGGUCCAGCCUGCCCAGUGAUACAAUUUAACGGCCGCGGUAUACUGACCGUGCGAAGGUAGCAUAAUCACUUGUUCUUUAAAUGGGGACUAGUAUGAACGGCACCACGAGGGCUUUACUGUCUCCUCCCUCCAAUCAGUGAAACUGACCUCCCUGUGAAGAGGCAGGGAUACCACUAUAAGACGAGAAGACCCCAUGGAGCUUUAAACCCAACAACAGCCCAAACACCACCACCCCAAAAAGUUUUAAGGGUAUUGCUAGUUGGUUUUAGGUUGGGGUGACCGCGGAGUAUAAACUAUCCUCCACGACGAACGGGCCUACCCCCUUACCCAAGAGCUACGCCUCUAAGGAUUAACACAUUAACGUAAAAUGAUCCAAAUAUUUGAUCAACGAACCAAGUUACCCUGGGGAUAACAGCGCAAUCCAUUUUUAGAGCCCCUAUCGACAAAUGGGUUUACGACCUCGAUGUUGGAUCAGGGUAUCCAGGAGGUGCAGCCGCUUCCAAUGGUUUGUUUGUUCAACAAUUAAAACCCUACGUGAUCUG